rnacentral:sRNA from 1 species
GAUUUAUUGUUUGUCCAGAUUCAAUUUUAAGAGUUUUGAUUACAAUAAUUUUCCUAGCUAAAUUUGUCGGAGGAUCUCUUUCCGUUCCAACGUUUACGAAUAAACAUUCCGAUAAGCUUAAAGGACAAAAUGGAAAAGGAAAAUACAGACAAGGAAAUCCCCAUGAACAAAUUAAUCGCCUGGGUCACCCAGGAAGAGUGCGUGAUUUGCAUGCAGCCAAAGCGGGAUCCCAAAUUCGUGCCCUGUGGCCACUCUUUUUGCGGGAAAUGUGCCACCCAGAUUAUACUCUACAAUAGUUCAGACACAAAUCCCCACUGUCCGUUGUGCCCUCUGAUAUAUCACGAUACAACUUAAACUAGAUGGUUUGAAUGGAUGGUGGGUGAUAUGGGGGGUGCAAAUUUGUUGACGACAAUAAAUGUUAUGUUCUCAAAAUCGCA